rnacentral:rRNA from 1 species
CCUACGGGUGGCAGCAGUGAGGAAUAUUGGUCACUGGGCGCGAGCCUGAACCAGCCAAGUCGCGUGAGGGAGGACGGCCCUACGGGUUGUAAACCUCUUUUGCCGGGGAGCAACGGGCGUCACGUGUGGCGCCACUGAGAGUACCCGGAGCAACAGCAUCGGCUAACUCCGUGCCAGCAGCCGCGGUAAUACGGAGGAUGCGAGCGUUAUCCGGAUUUAGUGGGUUUAAAGGGUGCGUAGGCGGAUCGUUAAUUCAGUGGUAAAAUUGAGGGGCUCAACCCCUUCCCGCCAUUGAAACUGGCGCUCUUGAGUGGAAGAGAAGUAUGCGGAAUGCGUGGUGUAGCGGUGAAAUGCAUAGAUAUCACGCAGAACCCCGAUUGCGAAGGCAGCAUGCCGGCUUCCGACUGACGCUGAAGCACGAAAGCGUGGGGAUCGAACAGGAUUAGAUACCCUUGUAGUC